AGCUCCAUUAGCGUAUAUUAAAGUUGUUGCAGUUAAAAAGCUCGUAGUUGGAUUUCAGUACGGGCCAGUUGGUCGGCCGCAAGGCCUGUUACUGGCUGGUCUGUUCUUCUUGUCAAAGACUGCGUGUGCUCUUCGUUGAGUGUGCGUAGGAUUUGGGACGUUUACUUUGAAAAAAUUAGAGUGUUCAAAGCAGGCGUCUUCUCGCCCGCAUACCCCAGCAUGGAAUAAUGGAAUAGGAGGCUGGUUCUAUUUUGUUGGUUUUCGGAAUCUAGCCUAAUGGUUAAGAGGGACGGUCGGGGGCAUUCGUAUUGCGGCGUUAGAGGUGAAAUUCUUAGAUCGCCGCAAGACGAACAAGUGCGAAAGCAUUUGCCAAGAAUGUUUUCAUUAAUCAAGAACGAAA
rnacentral:rRNA from 1 species